GUAGGUGGCAAGCGUUGUCCGGAAUUAUUGGGCGUAAAGCGCGCGCAGGCGGUUCUUUAAGUCUGAUGUGAAAGCCCACGGCUCAACCGUGGAGGGUCAUUGGAAACUGGAGAACUUGAGUACAGAAGAGGAAAGCGGAAUUCCACGUGUAGCGGUGAAAUGCGUAGAGAUGUGGAGGAACACCAGUGGCGAAGGCGGCUUUCUGGUCUGUAACUGACGCUGAGGCGCGAAAGCGUGGGGAGCAAACAGGGAUUAGAUACCCUGGUAGUCCACGCGUAAACGAUGAGUGCUAAGUGUUAGGGGGUUUCCGCCCCCUUAGUGCUGCAGCUAACGCAUUAAGCACUCCGCCUGGGGAGUACGCCGCAAGGCUG
rnacentral:rRNA from 1 species